rnacentral:rRNA from 1 species
CCUACGGGAGGCAGCAGUGAGGAAUAUUGGUCAAUGGACGAGAGUCUGAACCAGCCAAGUAGCGUGAAGGAUGACUGCCCUAUGGGUUGUAAACUUCUUUUAUAUGGGAAUAAAAUGUUCCACGUGUGGGAUGUGGUAUGUAUCAUAUGAAUAAGGAUCGGCUAACUCCGCGUCAGAAGCCGCGGUAAUACGGAGGAUCCGAGCGUUUUCCGGAUUUUUUGGGUUUAAAGGGUGCGUAGGUGGGUUGUUAAGUCAGUUGUGAAAGGUUCCGGCUCAACCGUGAAAUUGCAGUUGAAACAGGCAGUCUUGAGUACAGUAGAGGUUGGCGGAAUUCGUGGUGUAGCGGUGAAAUGCUUAGAUAUCACGAAGAACUCCGAUUGCGAAGGCAGCUGACUGGACUGCAACUGACGCUGAGGCUCGAAAGUGUGGGUAUCAAACAGGAUUAGAUACCCGGGUAGUC